rfam:Parcubacteria bacterium GW2011_GWC1_36_108 TR95_C0008, whole genome shotgun sequence.
AUAUGCUUGCUGUAACGUAUAUGGUGGAUGCCUUGACUGAAAUAAGCGAUGAAGGACGCAGCUGGCUGCGAUAAUCCUCGGGGAGCUGUUAAGCAAGCUUUGAUCCGGGGGCCUCCGAAUGGGGCAACCCUUCCAGUUUUUACUGGAAACCGUAAACUGAAUUCAUAGGUUUACGGAGCGAACCCUGGGAAUUGAAACAUCUUAGUACCAGGAGGAAUAGAAAACAAUAUGUGAUUCCCCAAGUAGUGGCGAGCGAACGGGGAAAAGUCUAAACCGUGCCUUCGGGCACGGGGUUGCGAGGUAAUUGGACUCUGUUGACAGGGGUCAGAUGUAAAUCAUUAGCAAAAUACUCUGGAAAGUGUAACCACAGCGGGUAAUAGUCCCGUAUGCGAAAAUCAUUUACAUUAGAUGCAAUUAUCCUCAAGUAAGGCGGGACCAGAGAAAUCCUGUCUGAAUCUGGGAGUACUACUCUUCCAAGACUAAAUAUUAUUUCAGAUCGAUAGCGAACUAGUACCGUGAGGGAAAGGUGAAAAGCAUCCCGAUGAGGGAGGUGAAAUAGAACU